UACGUAGGGAGCAAGCGUUGUCCGGAAUCAUUGGGCGUAAAGCGCGCGUAGGCGGCCCUGUAAGUCCGUUGUGAAAGUCAAAGGCUCAACCUUUGAAAGCCGAUGGAUACUGCAGGGCUAGAGUCCGGAAGAGGCGAGUGGAAUUCCUGGUGUAGCGGUGAAAUGCGUAGAUAUCUGGAGGAACACCGGUGGCGAAGGCGGCAUCCUGGACCGGCAUUGACGCUGAGGCGCGAAAGCCAGGGGAGCAAACGGG
rnacentral:rRNA from 1 species